rnacentral:tRNA from 1 species
CAGCCUUACCAAACGUCGAAAUUGCAAUCUCGAACACCGUGCCACUUCGCACUAGGGCUUA